rnacentral:misc_RNA from 1 species
UAUGUCAUUCAUAGUUGAACUUUAGUUCAAUGUGUUACAGCCACUAGUCAUAAGAACUAUGCACUAUACAAGUAAUAUAUCAAGUGGAUUUACUACUUGAAAUAUAGUUCAGCAAGUUUCUUGAGAGUUUCGAAAACGCUUGUGAAUGGGUUGAAUUGAACAGGGCGUCUCAACUCUAAAUCAGGAAAUUGGUUGUUUAGAGCUUGUUGCAUUCCGGACAUGGACAUCAUUGCUGAUAGCUGACUGGUAGUCUUUACCUCACAGUCUUGUGGAGUGUCAUUGAUUUUGCUUGGAUCAUAUCCGAAACUUGCUAAGUAGUUCUUGUACCUGUCGAUAAAUUCUGGUCCUGGAUUAGGCGUCCUCGAGUAUAUCUGAACGAAGCUUUUAUCUUUAGCUCCAGAAACCAGUGCGAAGUUAUCAUAAUCAGUUGCAAUUACAUCAUAAGGCUCCUUAGGGAUGAACGGCAGUGUAGGAAACCUAAGGUAACACUUCUCCCUAAUCAUUUCUUGCCUUUCUAGAUCAGUCUCGUCUUUCUCCUUAUCCUCCUCAUUAAGGCAUUGAACCCUUCCCCUUAUGCCUGUGAUGUAGCCAUCAGGUCCUCCAUGAACGCAAAAUGUGUCUACUUGGAUAGCAGGUGCAUUCAUAUCAACAGUGUAAAUGCCCUGUGUGCAAUGACAAUCUUCUUGACCUUGUCCAGCAAAU